rnacentral:rRNA from 1 species
AUGGCGUCCACCGGAGCCGUCCCCUGCUCCGUCCUCCUGCUCCUCCUCCUCUGCGCGUCCCCGCUGUGCCAGGGCCAGGCCGGACGGCACAACAUCACGGAGACCCUCGCCGCCGCCAGCCCGGACUUCGCCCAGUUCAGCGCCGCCCUGGCCGCCGCGAACCUCAGCGCCGAGAUCGACGGGCGCAGCCCCGUCACCGUCCUCGCCGUCGACAACGCCGCCGUGGCGCGGCUCGGGGAGCGGCGCCUCCAGCCGGACGCCCUCGCGCGCGUGCUCUCCCUGCACGUCCUCCUCGACUACCUCGGCGACGCCAGGCUCCGUACCCUCGACGGCGGGUUCAGGCAGGCCGCCAGCCUCUACCAGGCCCACGGCGCGCCGGGGGCCGCCGGCAUCGUGAACAUCACGCGGGGCGGCAAGGACGACCACGUCUCGUUCCGGCCAGCGGAGGGGGUGAACGGGACCGCCGCCGUGUUCUACGUGAAGUCGGUCAAGGAGGCGCCCUGGGACAUCGCCGUGCUGCAGGUGAGCGACGCCAUCUCGUCCUUCACCGCCGAGGCGAAGGUGCCCACGCCGCCGGCCCCGGCUCCUGCUCCCAAGGCGCCUGCGCCUGCUCCUCUGGCGCCGGUCGUGGCCCCUGCACCUGCUAAGGCCCCGGCGGCCCUGCCUCCGUCGCCAAAGAACCACACCGCGCCACCGCCGAAGCCGGCCAAAGAGCCCGUGCCUUCGCCAACGCCCGUGGUGGAGACGCCGGCGGAAGGACCUGGGGCGGACGGAGAUCAGCCGCCUGCCGACGAGCACAAGAGUGGCGCCAGCGACUCGGAGCCGUGGAGCCUCGGCGCGGUGGUGGCGGUGGCCGUGCCGGUCGUCGUGUUUCUGCUGUGGUGA